GAGUUUGAUCCUGGCUCAGGACGAACGCUGACGGUGUGCUUUAGACAUGCAAGUCGAACGAGAAAGCCCUUCGGGGUGAGUACAGUGGCGAACGGGUGAGUAACACGUGGGCAACCUGCCCCUCGCAGGGGGACAACCGGAGGAAACUCCGGCUAAUACCCCGUAAGCUUGUUGGGUCGCAUGACCCUUCAAGGAAAGGUAGCUUCGGCCAUCCGGCGAGGGAUGGGCCCGCGGUACAUUAGCUAGUUGGUGGGGUAACGGCCCACCAAGGCGACGAUGUAUAGCUGGUCUGAGAGGAUGAUCAGCCACACUGGGACUGAGACACGGCCCAGACUCCUACGGGAGGCAGCAGUCGGGAAUCUUGCGCAAUGGGCGAAAGCCUGACGCAGCAACACCGUGUGAGCGACGAAGGCCUUCGGGUCGUAAAGCUCUGUUGUUGGGGACGAAGGGCGAAGGGUUAAUAGCCCCUAGCCUGACGGUACCCUUCGAGGAAGCCCCGGCUAACUACGUGCCAGCAGCCGCGGUAAUACGUAGGGGGCGAGCGUUGUCCGGAAUUAUUGGGCGUAAAGGGCGCGUAGGUGGUCUUAUAAGGGUGUGGUGAAAGCCCGGGGCUCAACCCCGGGUCGGCCGUGCCGACUGUAAGACUAGAGUGCUGUAGGGGCAGGCGGAAUUCCGGGUGUAGCGGUGGA
rnacentral:rRNA from 1 species